rnacentral:rRNA from 1 species
UACGUAGGGGGCCAGCGUUGCUCGGAAUUACUGGGCGUAAAGGGUUCGUAGGCGGUGUGGCAAGUCGGAAGUGAAAUCUCCAGGCUCAACUUGGAGGCUGCUCCCGAAACUGCCACGCUAGAGUGCGGGAGAGGCCAGUGGAAUUCCAGGUGUAGCGGUGAAAUGCGUAGAUAUCUGGAGGAACACCGGUGGCGAAGGCGGCAUCCUGGACCGACACUGACGCUGAGGAGCGAAAGCCAGGGGAGCAAACGGG